rnacentral:lncRNA from 10 species
GCAGGACGCAGCCCUGGAUGCGGGAUGACCUUUGCCUUUCAGGACAGGGUCCUCAGCCCCUCUCAGCAAGUGGGGAGAGAGUCAAACAGCUGGUAGUGGCCAGCCAGGACGGUCCCCACAUCACUGGCAGGGAGGAGGGGGCACAUCAAGCUAAGUCUUCACAAUGACCGCAAGGCCAGCCUCAAGUGUAGGAUCCUGGAAUCCGUUCUGCACAGAAGUGUGGCCUAGGCCCCGCCGGUUCCCCUCGUCUCCCACUCCUUGCCCAUCCCACAGUCCCGCUAGCCCAGCCCAGCCGAGCCCAGCCCAGCCCACAUGGGGAUUAUCACUGGAAACAGCUGCCCCUUCUGGCGCAAGGCCCACAGCUGUGCACCCCUAUCAGGAAGAGACCCGGGGAGACCCAUGAGGCCCAGGUGGAGGUGUCUGGGGGGAAUUCUAGGCCCCAGGGCCAGCUGCAUGGUCUAGAAGGGGCACAGGUCUGGGUGGGCAGAUCUCCUGGGCCCACAGACUCCUUGUCUGUGGGGAGGGCACCACUGGAGGAGGGCCCGGAAUAGGAGCUCUGAUGGUGGCACUGGCCUCCAUGCAGGGGGUGACAGGGGAAUGCAGGGAAGGAGGGGGGGGAGGACUCUAAAGGAAUACCGCAUCACCUGGCCUGGGCCAGGAGGAGCGUGGUGCCCCCUUCACCAAGAUGGGGCCUCCCAGGGAAAUGGCUGGGCAUGCAUUCUUUUCUUUUUUUUUUUUUUUUUGAGACAAAGUCUCACUCUGUCACCCAGGCUGGAGUACAGUGGCGUGAUCUCAGCUCACUGCAACUUCCGCCCUCUGAGUUCAAGCGAUUCUCCUGCCUCAACCUCCCGAGUAGCUGGGAUUACAGGUGCCUGCCACUGCUCCCAGCUAUUUUUUUUUUUUUUUG